rnacentral:rRNA from 1 species
AUUAAAAUUAAUUUAUUAUUAUAUUAUUUUAUAUUUUAUUAAUAGAAAUAACUAGAAUUUAAGUAGGGUUUAUUGAAAUAAUUUUUUUAUUUAUAGUUAAAAGUACUGUGAGGGAAAUUUGUAUUUAUAUUUAAAGUAGUAUUGAUUUUAUGUACCUUUUGUAUCAGGGUUAAUUAAUUAAUUUUAUGUAUUUUAUUUUCCCGAAAUAAAAAGAUCUAUAAUAUUAUGUUGCUCAUUGUUUCAUAAAUGUUUAUUAUAAUAUUAUAGUGAUGAAAAGUUAUUCGGUUUUUAUUAUAUCUGGUUUCUUUAGAAUUGAAUUUAAUUCAGAAUUUAUUUAGAUUUAAAAUAAUUUUAUUUUUAUAUUUAAUAAAUUAAAUAUUAUUAAGGAUAAGCUUAGUAAUAUUAUUAUAAUUUUUUAAUUUAUUAUAAUUUUUGUAGGUUUGGAAUCGGUCAUCAUUAAUUUCGUUAUAGAAUAGGUUAUUUAUAUAUUUAUUUUUUAUAAUUUAGUUUUUUAUAAAGAAGAUUUAUUUAUUAAUUUAAUAAAUGUAAUUAUGAUUAAAUUAGUAUUAUUUAUAAUUAUCUUAUAGUAACUCGGCAAAUUUAAUGUUCACCUGUUUAACAAAAACAUGUCCUUUAGUGAAAUUAUUUAAGGUCUGGCCUGCCCAAUGAUUAUAAAUUUAAUGGCUGCGGUAUUUUAACCGUACUAAGGUAGCAUAAUCAUUAGUCUUUUAAUUGAAGGCUGGAAUGAAAGGUUGGAUGAGAUAUUAGCUUUCUUUAAGAUAAAUUAAGAAUUUAAUGUUUUAGUUAAAAAGCUGAAAUAUAAUUGGAGGACGAGAAGACCCUAUAGAUCUUUAUAUUUAAUUUAAUUUGUUAUUAUUGGGUAAUGUUGUAAUAAAUUAUUUUAGUUAUUAGAUUGGGGUGAUUUUAGAAUUAAUUAAACUUCUAAUUUAUAAUUUCAUUAUUUUAUGUUUUUUUGAUCCAUUAUUAAUGAUUAUAAGAAAAAGUUACCUUAGGGAUAACAGCGUUAUUUUUUCGGAAAGUUCAUAUUGAUGAAGAAGUUUGCGACCUCGAUGUUGGAUUAAAAUAAGUAAAGAGCGCAGUAGCUCUUUAACUGGGUCUGUUCGACCCUUAAUAUUUUACAUGAUCUGAGUUCAGACCGGCGUGAGCCAGGUCAGUUUCUAUCCUCAAUUAGUUUUUAAAUUUUAGUACGAAAGGACCAAAUUUAAGGAAUAAUUUUAUUAAUUUUGAUUAAUAUU